rnacentral:rRNA from 1 species
AGGUGCGAUCAUACCAGCACUAAAGCACCGGAUCCCAUCAGAACUCCGAAGUUAAGCUUGCUUGGGCGAGAGUAGUACUAGGAUGGGUGACCUCUUGGGAAGUCCUCGUGUUGCAUUCC